rnacentral:rRNA from 1 species
CCUACGGGAGGCAGCAGUGGGGAAUCUUGCGCAAUGCGCGAAAGCGUGACGCAGCAACGCCGCGUGGGGGAAGACGGCCUUCGGGUUGUAAACCCCUUUCAGUUGGGACGAAGGUCGGGCGGUGAAUAGCCGUUCCGGCUGACGGUACCUUCACAAGAAGCCCCGGCUAACUACGUGCCAGCAGCCGCGGUAAUACGUAGGGGGCAAGCGUUGUCCGGAAUCAUUGGGCGUAAAGAGCGUGUAGGCGGCCCGGUAAGUCCGCUGUGAAAGUCAAGGGCUCAACCCUUGAAUGCCGGCGGAUACUGUCGGGCUAGAGUCCGGAAGAGGCGAGUGGAAUUCCUGGUGUAGCGGUGAAAUGCGCAGAUAUCAGGAGGAACACCUACGGCGAAGGCAGCUCGCUGGGACGGUACUGACGCUGAGACGCGAAAGCGUGGGGAGCA